rnacentral:rRNA from 1 species
UACGGGGGGGGCAAGCGUUGUUUGGAAUUACUGGGCGUAAAGGGCGCGUAGGCGGCCUGCUAAGUCACACGUGAAAUCCCUCGGCUCAACCGGGGAACUGCGUGUGAUACUGGCGGGCUUGAAUUCGGGAGAGGGAUGUGGAAUUCCAGGUGUAGCGGUGAAAUGCGUAGAUAUCUGGAGGAACACCGGUGGCGAAGGCGGCAUCCUGGACCGAGAUUGACGCUGAGGCGCGAAAGCUAGGGGAGCAAACGGG